UGUUAAUAGUGCAAGCAUGUAUUUAUAUGUCAUUCAUGCGGUGCGAUAAUUAUUGAUUUGUUGUGUUUAUAUUUUUAAACAUAUUAUUGAGUGCAUUCAUACAAACGGCAAAUAUAGGUCAGCGAACGCGUAAUGUAAAUGAUGUGGCAUUACUAAGGCGAUCACAGACUGCAGAUUAACGCGCGCGCACAAGCUAAUGCAUCGCAGCGUGAACUUAAAAUAGAUCUGUUCACCCAGUACCUGUAGUGAAUCUUGCACGGCGAUCACGAAUACGUCGUGCUGUUUUGGCUGAAAUGAUGCGUGGUGCUUUUAGUUACAACAGUCAGAUUGAUUAUGGUAUGAGGCAAAAACAAAACUAUGUCUACAAUCGGCUCAGUCUUUUACGUUUUAUGGGUUCGGAAACGUUUCCUUCUGUAAAAACUGUGUAUAAAAACGGAUGAUGCAUAUUAGAAAAGGACAAAUAUAGAUUCCGGCAAUAAAAUCCACUUGACGUCAUCACGCAGUGACAAUGGAAGUGGUGAGCUUAGAUUUAGCAGAGCAACGUCAUGAUCCAUUGUAAAAUAAUUAAAUUUAUCAUAAACAUGAAUGCUGCUAACAAAAA